rnacentral:rRNA from 1 species
GUCUACGGCCAUGCUAACCUGAACAAGCCCGAUCCUGUCUGAUCUUGGAAGCUAAGCAGGGUCGGGCCUGGUUAGUAUACUUGGAUGGGAGACUACCUGGGAAGACCAGGUGCUGUAGGCG